rnacentral:rRNA from 1 species
UGCCAGCCGCCGCGGUAAUACAGAGGGUGCAAGCGUUAUCCGGAUUUACUGGGUUUAAAGGGUGCGUAGGCGGAUAAUUAAGUCAGUGGUGAAAGCCCGAAGCUCAACUUCGGAACUGCCAUUGAAACUGUUUAUCUUGAGUAUAGUUGAAGUGGGCGGAAUACAUCAUGUAGCGGUGAAAUGCUUAGAUAUGAUGUAGAACGCCAAUUGCGUAAGCAGCUCACUAAGCUAUCACUGACGCUCAGGCACGAAAGCGUGGGGAGCGAACAGGAUUAGAUA